rnacentral:rRNA from 1 species
ACGCUGGCGGCAUGCUUUACACAUGCAAGUCGGACGGCAGCACAGAGAAGCUUGCUUCUUGGGUGGCGAGUGGCGAACGGGUGAGUAAUAUAUCGGAACGUACCGAGUAAUGGGGGAUAACUAAUCGAAAGAUUAGCUAAUACCGCAUAUUCUCUGAGGAGGAAAGCAGGGGACCUUCGGGCCUUGCGUUAUUCGAGCAGCCGAUAUCUGAUUAGCUAGUUGGUGGGGUAAAGGCCUACCAAGGCGACGAUCAAUAGCGGGUCUGAGAGGAUGAUCCGCCACACUGGGACUGAGACACGGCCCAGACUCCUACGGGAGGCAGCAGUGGGGAAUUUUGGACAAUGGGCGCAAGCCUGAUCCAGCCAUGCCGCGUGUCUGAAGAAGGCCUUCGGGUUGUAAAGGACUUUUGUCAGGGAAGAAAAGGCUGUUGCUAAUACCGACAGCUGAUGACGGUACCUGAAGAAUAAGCACCGGCUAACUACGUGCCAGCAGCCGCGGUAAUACGUAGGGUGCGAGCGUUAAUCGGAAUUACUGGGCGUAAAGCGAGCGCAGACGGUUACUUAAGCAGGAUGUGAAAUCCCCGGGCUCAACCUGGGAACUGCGUUCUGAACUGGGUGACUAGAGUGUGUCAGAGGGAGGUAGAAUUCCACGUGUAGCAGUGAAAUGCGUAGAGAUGUGGAGGAAUACCGAUGGCGAAGGCAGCCUCCUGGGAUAACACUGACGUUCAUGCUCGAAAGCGUGGGUAGCAAACAGGAUUAGAUACCCUGGUAGUCCACGCCCUAAACGAUGUCAAUUAGCUGUUGGGCAACUUGAUUGCUUAGUAGCGUAGCUAACGCGUGAAAUUGACCGCCUGGGGAGUACGGUCGCAAGAUUAAAACUCAAAGGAAUUGACGGGGACCCGCACAAGCGGUGG